rnacentral:lncRNA from 10 species
AAAGGAAGAGCAGACAUGUCACAUGGGGAGUGUGGGAGCAAGAGUGAGGAGGACACUGCUCUAAACAAAGAGUUCUUGAGUGAGCUCAGAGUGAAAGCUCACUCAUUAUGUGAGGAUAUUACCAUGCCAUUCAUCAUGAGGGAUCCACCCCCAUUACCCAAACACUUCCCACCAGGCUGCAACCUCCAACACUGGGGAUCAUAUGUCAACAUGAGAUUUGAGGGGACAAAUAUCCAAACCAUAUCAAGGUUCCAGAAAGAAAAGAGUAAACAAGUUUAAAUUACUAGCUUUGGUUAAUAACUUAGUGAAAAUACACCUUCUUUCAACACCACAAAACCCAUACUUGACAUAUAAUGAGACAAAUAACAGUAUAAUUUUACAAAAUGAAAGUUCAAGUUCUUGCAACACAUACUUGUAUUUAUUUAAUAAAGUCUAUCAAAAGUAUCUACAAAGUAAACAAAGUGCCCUAAGAUCAAAUGUAGCUAAUUAUUUGUAGUUACUAUGUAGUAACUAAAUGUAGUAACUAAGCUAUUAUUUAUUCAUUAUUAUCUAAUUUGCUCCCAGUUGAAUUUUCAACAUCACUUGGUAACUUAAACCUUGGCACUUCUAGUAAUCUUGAAAUAUCUCAGAGUUAAUGAGUCAUGCAUAUGUGUGUCAUGUGCAUUACAAUAAAAUAAAUACCCCCACAGAUCGUUACAAUUUAUAAAGAAAAUGAGAAGGAAGAAGGACAGGAACGAAGAGAGGAAGGUAAAGAAGGAUAUUAAAGUGAGCAAGACUUGAAACAGGAACCUGCUAACAAGAGUGCCAGGAACCUCCAGCACGGUGAAGGAAUUUCCAUGCAUGCACUCUAGCCCACUUACUCAAACUCUGCCUGCUGUGUAGACCCUACACAACUAUGAACAGCUCCCCUUUUAAUGGCCCUCUAAAAUAGUGUUGGGUCUGCAGGGAUGAUCUGACUUCUAGAGGACUGACUGGCAAAGAACCUGGCACAGGCCCUGGAUCAACUGUCAGGCUUAUUUUGGGCAGAGAGUAUCUGGAGUAUGUCUCCAAUGGGGAGAGUGGUUGCACCCUGGAUUGGACACUCUUCAGCAGCUAGAAUGAGCCCCUCAAAUAUGCUAGGCCCCUGUCAGAAACUCUCAGCUCUCCUUGCUAGUGUCAAAGGGUGGUGCUGUAAGUUAUAAUGCUUUAAAACCAAAUUGGCUCCUAAGAAAUAUGUCAUUAGAUUAUCAAGUUGUUGAUAAAAUACUGGUGGUAACAUUUAUUAAGCUCGGAACAUAAACUUAUGAAUCUUAUUUUUACAGCUUUUUCCUUCCUUCCAUUUAUUGUGUAGGCAGUCUCUUCUUGCCAUCAUAUUUUAAGUAACAAAUUGGAAUACACUAUUUAUUGACUCAGAUGUUCUCAGUGAGUGCUACAGCUAUUCCCACAAAAGCACGUUUUCCAGAGAAUCUAUGUUAAUUCUUUAUACACCUCAGAUAUUUAGAUAGUCCAGCAAAAUAACCACAUCAAACGAUCCCAUGACUGAUGGAUGAAUUUAAAUUAUAAGAUUGCUUUCAUAACUACUGAAUUCUUCUAUCU